rnacentral:lncRNA from 1 species
CCCCACUUCGGAGGGGCCUCAAAAAAUUUUAUAUCCUGUAAAUAACAUAUAAAUACAAACAAAGUAUGAAAUAUCACAGUUCAUUUGUUUGUGUAGUUGAAAUGUUUGGCUUCCCAAUCUCUCCACUUUUAUUGAAUGUUUAAAUUAACUAUCAUAUGGUUUUGAAGAUUGUACUUUAAGGUAAUCAAAACUUUGAAUUUAUAUUUAGGUUUUUAAUAAUUUAUCACAAUGGAUUAUUUUAAUAUUCGAUUCAUUAAUGUGAUGUUGAUUUUAGAAAAAACACAAGACAAACA